UACGAAGGGGGCUAGCGUUGCUCGGAAUCACUGGGCGUAAAGGGUGCGUAGGCGGGGCUUUAAGUCAGGGGUGAAAUCCUGGAGCUCAACUCCAGAACUGCCUUUGAUACUGAGGAUCUUGAGUUCGGGAGAGGUGAGUGGAACUGCGAGUGUAGAGGUGAAAUUCGUAGAUAUUCGCAAGAACACCAGUGGCGAAGGCGGCUCACUGGCCCGAUACUGACGCUGAGGCACGAAAGCGUGGGGAGCAAGCAGG
rnacentral:rRNA from 1 species